AAUGGACUUACAAGGUAUUGUAAUAAGGUUUUAAUUGAAUGCUAAAAGAAUGGAAUUACAGGGAAAAGUUUUUUUAAAUUUAAUAAUUGAAGUUAUUUUAAUUUGUGAAGAAACAAUUAUAUAAAUUAAAGACAAGAAGACCCUAAGAAUUUAAGAAUUUUUAUUAAUAUAUUAUAUGUAUAUAUAUAUAAAUAAAAUUCUUAGUUGGGGCAACUAAAAAAAAUAUUAAACUUUUUUUUUUAAAAAAAGAACCCUUUUUUAUGGUAAUGAUAAAAAAAAAACCCUAGGGUAACCACCACAAAAUUUUUGUUUUAAUUUUAUCAAAAAAAAAUUUUGGACCCCCACCUUGGGUUUGGAAACCUUUUUUAUUAAAAAGUUAAAAAAAAAAAAUUGGUUCACUUUUAAAUUCCCACCCGAACCGGAUUUAAACCCAAAAAAAAGAGGGAGAGGA
rnacentral:rRNA from 1 species